rnacentral:lncRNA from 1 species
UGUCUCCAGUGCACGCUGACAGCAUUGGCGUUCGGACUGAGGAGGUGCCUGUGACCCUGAGCUUGGAUGUGUUCAGAGGGACGCAGUUUGCUCUGGAAAUGGAUUUGGAUCUGACUCCUGGUCCGAGCCUGAGUUCCUCUCUUGGAUACUCACAUCAUGAUGAGGUUUAUCUUAAGGUAUGGAAACCCAAAGCACAGAGGAUUUGAACCCUCAGGGAAGGUGUGACUGCACAGAAACACUGGAAAAGAAAAAUCUGAGCGACUGUAAAGCCCAUGUCCAUUAUCACUGUAUCUGAGUGCCAGCAUGUACUUGUGCAUUACUUGAAAGAAGUCCUGCAGGUAAACCACACUUUAUUCUUAAACGUA